UGAGACGGGGUCCCUGGGGGCCUGGUGGGCUCAGGUGCGCCCUUGGUAAGUGCCAGCUUACGGUGAGGAGAUCCCUGUCUUGGCCUCUACUGGCAGGGCGAAAAGGGCUGCUACGUGGCCAAAGGUAAGUCCCCACAUUGACAAGGGCCCAAGCCUGGCAGGACUCCGUUCUGGAGACUGCUCGAAGCCAGGUAUACGUCCCCACCUUUGGCCUCAGUUGUGCGGUCGCCUGGCCAGCUGGUGGGAGCUCCGCUCUGAGCGCCCCAAGUGGUGCUGAGGGUGACUCGCGCCACUUCCCGGGGGCACAGAGGUUAAGCGAAGGGGGCAGGAACGCGAGUCGGUCCUUGCUUGGGGCGCUCCAAGUUUUCUUCUUAUUUGAUUCCCAAGUUGAUGGGUUUUUCUCACCCCGGAGUUACAGGGAGCUCCUGGGGCGCGGUGGCGGAGAGGUCGAGGAAAACGCCUACCGACCGAAGUACCUCUGCUGUGCGGGUCACGUCUGGGAGUUUUAAAGUUGAGAAUUGUUCUGUUUCCUGGUUACUUUACUGAAGAGAUCAUUUCUUAAACUAUUACCAUUCGCUUUUAUCUAUCAAAAUCUAUUAUUUUAUUGUUGUAUUUUUGUUAUAAGUUAUAUUUUAUUUUGGAGACUUAAAAUGCUUGUAUUUCACUCAACCCGCUCUCAAGCCUUCCUCUCUGGCCUGAAGUGAAAUCUUCUUCGGCCCCCAUGGGGUCCCUUUCACCGCGCAUUUCUCUCCCUGCUGGGGUUCAGUACCACCACCACCCUGCUCCCCAGCACUGCAGUUUGACAUCCUUGCUCGGAAGGUAGCUACUGCUGUACCCUGUGGCUGACAUCCGACUCUGUACGGUCCCACUCACAGGGGCAAAUUCACAGGGGACCCUCAACCUCUCUGGCCGAGAGAGGAGGGGAUGGGCGGAGCUGAGCCCCCCACGGUCAGAGUCCACUGGGAAAGCCGGACACAGCCCUGCGGAGAGAGGCCUUACUCCUUCCUUAGCCUCAGGGCCUCUGCGACUUACUUCCAGGACACUUCCGAAGACACAGAGGGGAGAGGGGAAAGUUCGGAGAAAUAACACUGUUCUCCUCCCCCGCCCAGGGCCCAGUUCUGCUCUUCCUUCCCCCGUGGUCCAAGCUUUAUUCAGGAGUGACUGUCUCUCUGGCCCCGCUGUCCCUCCCUAGGACUGCUGUCCCCUGACAGAGGGCCCCAGACGCGCUUCCUGCCGUACGUGCCGGCGCCACCCGACUACCGCGCUCCAGGCACGGAUUCUGUCACUGGCGGUGUGAAACCAGCCCCAGGCGGACUGUGCACACGGUUUGGGAAGAGGAAAUGCCUCGGGUUCCCCAGAUCCGCCUCCUGGUCCAUAAGGACAGAUUCGGGUACCCGAUUAACAGCUUGGCACAGAGGGAGGCAGGACCCGCGACCUGCUGGAGGCUACCCUCGGGGGAGGGGAUCAUCCCCACUUUCCCGCUCCGAGCGACUCGUAACUCUGGCUUCAGCUCUCAGGGAAAGAGUGCCCCGGGGGUGGGGGGCGGAGAGAAAGGAGACUAAAAAAAUCCUCAGAUGCCUUAAGGGCGGGACCCCGAAGGAAGGGCCCGGGCAGCCACAGCGGUGGGCAAGGUUAGCUUAGCCACUGCCAGACGGCGGGACUCCGAGCUCCGAGGCGGUGGGAUUUUAUUGGGGCCUCUCCAGCUUCUGUGUUCUGCUGAGGUGUGCUCGGAAUGGGGAAAGAGAAAAUACAGACUUCCAUUUAUUCAGAAAAGGGACGUUCGGUCUGAAUUACCAAGGCCCACGUUUUGCUUUUGACGCACGCAGCGCGGGGACCAUCUUUUCCAAAACAACUUCUGCACUAGUUUAGUAACUGAUAAAAUAAAUGAAGGGGGUGGGGGGUUACAGGUUAUUUUAUCCUCCUGGCCUUUUUCUUUGUUUUUAUUAUGCGAAAAGGCUCUUAUGUGUUAUUGUUAUUAGUUUUUCUGUGGUGUUGUCUUAUUUGCCUGAAGGGUGUAAACUCAGAGGCAUAUGGGCUGUUCAACACAUCAUUUGUUCUCUUGCUUUCCUCUUGUUGAGCCAACUAAGCGUCUUCGUUAUUUAUUUUUAUUCUUGAAAGCAGAAAUAGGUGAUAGGAGUACUGAUGAACUUUGUUUACAGAAGCACAUUCUGACUCCUUUCCCUGACUGGCUGAAGACCCCCGAAGCUUUGAAAGCCCUGCUUUCCUCACCAAAGUUCUUGGAGCCCAUUUCUCAAACCCCUUCCAUAGGCUCUCCCUCCGCUGCCGAAAAGAACGAUUUCAGAUACACCAGAAGAGCUAAGGCCCUCGCUCGACAUCACUUGCUGAGGGACUUUUCUCCCUUAAUAUGGGGACUAAUGUCACUCCUCGUCGCUGGAUUCCGAGGAGACACCAGGCAUCCACGCAGGCAGAAGUUUUCUCGGCUACCGAGCCCCACGGGCAGACUCGCCCGAGCUGCAUAUCCCCUCGUGUCCACUAGAGGGCACUGGCCCCUCGCGGCUCGCGGCGCGGCCGGCCGCCUCCCGCUCCUCCAGCUCAAAUUAGCCGCGCGUUAAUUAACACCCGAGUCCAUCAAGGCGAGUUCCUCGGUACGGUACUCCAGCAGGGCUUAUAUAGGCAAUCCAAACCCAGCCAAAGCAAACCUCCCCAAACCCAACACUUCCAGCAUGUCCAAAAUGGGAGACAGGCGCCUGAGUAACCCGGGCCAAGGUAUAGUGCCAUCACGCUUUAACUUUUGUUCGGUGGGAAUUGCUAAAUUACUGUGAAGAUAGCGUUCUCCGCAAGCGCAGGCUCGGCGGGACCGGCUCUGCGCGCCAGCUAUUGGAGGCUGGGCAGCGCGCGUUCUUGCCCCUCCAGCCCACUGAUCCUCUGGGCAGAUUUCUCCAACUCGGUAGCCACCGGGGAGAGGGGCCCAUGUCUACACCGUCUUAGGGGCACACGAAUGUAAAGGAAUAUUUAUUUAGGGUGUAGAGUACCAAAAAAAAGAA